rnacentral:rRNA from 1 species
UGUCGACAUUAUAGUUGCGCAGGCACUUUGGUGACUCUAGAGAACCUCGGGCCAAUCGCACGUCCCCGUGACACCGACUUUGCAUUCGGAUGUCUACCCUAUCAACUUUCAUUGCCACUUUCUGCACCUACCAUGGUGACCACGGGUAACGGGGAAUCAGGGUUCGAUUCCGGAGAGGGAACCUGAGAAAUGGCUACGACAUCCAAGGAAGGUAGCAGGCGUGCAAAUUACCCACUCCACACGCAGGGAGGUAGCGACGACA